AAAAAAAAAAAAAAGAGAAAAACUAAAGAAAAUAGUGCAUGCAUGUGUUUUUUGUCUGUUGAAUUAUUGAGGUAACUGUGGUGACCGUUACUUAACUGUAAAUAACUACUGUUAACAUUAUGUAGAAAUGGUAAUGGCUGUAACCAAUGCAACUCAGCAUUUUCCAUUAAAUGACGAGUAAAGGGUAACGGCCCCUUGAAAUACCCGUAAA
rnacentral:misc_RNA from 1 species